CGGACGGGUGAGUAACACGUGAGCAACCUGCCUUUAAGAGUGGGAUAACAGUCGGAAACGACCGCUAAUACCGCAUAAUAUACUUGUAUCGCAUGGUAUGGGUAUCAAAGAUUUAUCGCUUAAAGAUGGGCUCGCGUCUGAUUAGCUGGUUGGUGAGGUAACGGCUCACCAAGGCGACGAUCAGUAGCCGUACUGAGAGGUAGAACGGCCACAUUGGGACUGAGACACGGCCCAGACUCCUACGGGAGGCAGCAG
rnacentral:rRNA from 1 species